rnacentral:rRNA from 1 species
GAUGAACGCUGGCGGCGUGCCUAAUACAUGCAAGUCGAGCGAACGGACGAGAAUUUUGCUUCUCUGAUGUUAGCGGCGGACGGGUGAGUAACACGUGGCUAACCUACCUAUAAGACUGGGAUAACUUCGGGAAACCGGAGCUAAUACCGGAUAAUAUUUUGAACCGCAUGGUUCAAAAGUGAAAGACGGUCUUGCUGUCACUUAUAGAUGGAUCCGCGCUGCAUUAGCUAGUUGGUAAGGUAACGGCUUACCAAGGCAACGAUGCAUAGCCGACCUGAGAGGGUGAUCGGCCACACUGGAACUGAGACACGGUCCAGACUCCUACGGGAGGCAGCAGUAGGGAAUCUUCCGCAAUGGGCGAAAGCCUGACGGAGCAACGCCGCGUGAGUGAUGAAGGUCUUCGGAUCGUAAAACUCUGUUAUUAGGGAAGAACAUAUGUGUAAGUAACUGUGCACAUCUUGACGGUACCUAAUCAGAAAGCCGCGGCUAACUACGUG